rnacentral:misc_RNA from 1 species
GAUGAAGAACGCAGCAAAAUGCGAUACUUGGUGUGAAUUGCAGAAUCCCGUGAACCAUCGAGUUUUUGAACGCAAGUUGCGCCCGAAGCCUUUUGGCCGAGGGCACGUCUGCCUGGGCGUCACGCAUCGCGUCGCCCCCCACAAUUCUCCGUAAAAGGAACAUGUGUUUUGGGGGCGGAUAUUGGUCUCCCGUGCUCAUGGCGUGGUUGGCCGAAAUAGGAGUCCUUUCGAUGGACGCACGAACUAGUGGUGGUCGUAAAAACCCUCGUCUUUUGUUUCGUGCUGUUGCUCGCAAGGUAAACUCUUUAAAAACCCCAAUGUGUCGUCUCUUGACGACGCUUCGACCGCGACCCCAGGUCAGGCGGGACUACCCGCUGAGUUUAAGCAUAUCAAUAACGGAGGA